AAUAUUUGUAAUUCUAUAAAGAAAAAGCUCAAGAACAUCUGGGGAUGAUUGCGUGUUCCAUCUCAAACCAUGUACAAUCAAUCAGCUUCAGAUUAUAAUAGCUUUGAAACAAUGAUAUUGAAAGUUUUUUCAUCGUUCUAAAUUUAUGCUACAGUUAUGGUCGUAAAAGAUUAAGAAAAAUCUUAUGGGUGCAAUUAUUCCACUGACACCUGCGAAAUUAC